rnacentral:lncRNA from 1 species
GCAUUCCCUCAAUUUUCUAUCUUCUUCAAGAUCCUACAUAAAAGUAUACAAAUGAGCACUUAAAUCAGAAUCUAGAACUCAACUAGAAAAAGAAGAAACUGUUAGAUUAGUUUCAAUUACGAGCAAGUCAGAUGUACCUUCAGAAGGCCCAUCUUUCUUUCUGUUCUUCAUAAUCACCAGAUAUAUCAGACAGUUCCUUUUCUA